ACGAAAUAUUAUCUUAGGUUAAAAGCAGUGCAAAGUCAGAGCAUUCAAAAUAAGAAAUAACAAAUCAAAUAAUUCAUAAUUAUCAGCUGAUCAUGUACGCCAAUGGAAUUUUCUGAGCCAAUCAGAAUGGAGGAUUCACCAAGACAGUGGUAUAAUAAUACUCUCACAAAAACAUUGCACUGUAGCUGUGCUUCCAAGCCACCUUCCAAAAGCAAGGCUCGAGCUACAACCCCAAUUCCAAUGAAGUUGGGAUGUUGUGUUAAACAUAAAUAAAGACAUAACACAAUGAUUUGCAAAUCAUGUUCAACCUAUAUUUAAUUGAAUACACUACAAAGACAAGAUAUUUAAUGUUCAAACUGAUCAACUUGAUUGUUUUUUAGCAAAUAAUCAUUAACUUAGAAUCUUAUGGCUGCAACACGUUCCAAAAAAGCUGGGACAGGUGGCAAAAAAAGAUUGAGAAAGUUGAGGAAUGCUCAUCAAACACCUGUUUGGAACAUCCCACAGGUGAACAGGCUGAUUGGGAACGGGUGGGUGCCAUGAUUGGGUAUAAAAGGAGCUUCCCUGAAUUGCUCAGUCAUUCACAAGGAAAGAUGGGGUGAAGUUCUCUUUGUGAACAAGUGCGUGACAAAAUAGUCAAACAGUUCAAGGACAAUGUUCCUCAACGUACAAUUGCAAGGAAUUUAAGGAUUUCAUCAUCGAUGGUCCAUAAUAUCACACAUACAUUUACCGAAUGUGUAAUAGCUAUACUCUUCUUUGGUGACAUAAUGGCAUAUAAAGACGCGGUAUGGUGCGAGACUGGUUAGCACAUCUGCCUCACAGUUCUGAGGACCCGGGUUUGAAUCUGGCCUCGCCUGUGUGGAGUUUGCAUGUUCUCCCCGUGCCUGCGUGGGUUUUCUCCGGGUACUCCGGUUCCCUCCCACAUCCCCAAAACAUGCAUGGUCGAGUAAUCAAAGACUCCAAAUAGUCCCUAGGUGUGAAUGUGAGUACGAAUGGUUGUUUGUCUAUGUGUGCCCUGUGAUUGGCUGACAACCAGUUCAGGGUGUACUCACACCCUCUCGCCCAGAGUCAGCUGGGAUAGUCUCCAGCACGCCCUUGACCCUAGUGAGGAUAAGCGGUUGGCAUAUAAAUGCACGUCUACUCAAAUUUCAAAAAAUAUUUUAAUAUUUCUUUUUUUUAUUUAUUUAUUUAUUUAUUUAUUUAUUUUACAGAGAACUCUGGAAAUAAGGUUGUGUAAAUACUAUGAAUUUUGAAACCGCAAAUGUGUAGGUAAAUAAUAAACUAGCACACUUAGCAGCGGGAGAGCGCAAGUCCGGUCAGAAGAAAGUACAGCAAAAACUGGAGAUGAGCAUCAUGGUGAGGAGAUCAGGAAUCAGGGAUCAGUAUCGGUUGUCUGGGCCUGUUCUGGAUUCAGCGCAAGAGACACAAAGCAAGAGGUUAUUUGGAAAGAGUGCAGCAGUGUUGUGUCUGCUCCGCAGGGUAACACAACACAUCUCUUCAACCAUCUGAAAAAAAAACCUCACAAACACAAAUACGAUGAAUGUAUGAAAGCCAAAGCUAACGUUGCUUCUCAAAAUACUUGUCGGAGCCCAGUGGGAAGCCAGACAACCAUAACGGCGAUCCUUUAACACCAUAUCAGUCGACCUCCCCCCAAAACACUGGACAAGAAAUAUAUAAAAUUCCCUUGUGUAAUUAUUUCUCCAAACGAACAUUACCUGUAAUACAUGAGAAAUGUUGGUGGGGAAAUAAAGAGGGGAAAUCACCACUUUUCUUUGCAAUCACAAGUGACCAAAGGUCAUGCAGAGCAAUGAAAACUGGGUGCUUGCACAUGUCAAUUUUUCCCACAAGACCACACAGGGGAAACUGUAGUCCAGGGACUGUGGGAGAGACUGACUUCUUGGCGCCUGCAUGAGGAGAGACUAGUCCGCAUCACAACAGACAGUGGCUCGAAUGUCGUCAAGGCAAGCUUCUCUUAAUACUGUAAAUGGACGAGACUUCAUUGCUUUGGGCGUAGACUCCAUCUUGGAAUUGUUUCUCCUACAGCUGGAAGCGUAACAAAAUAGCUAGCCCGGGCUCGAAAGAAGACUGAAUGCCCCACAAGCUGGAAAUGAAGGCAGCCAAUGAUGGCAAGAGUUCUGGAGCCAUUUCUGGAGUCGUACCCUCUGACCAAAAAAUCCAGACACCUGUGAGACCAGUGAGAAGUACAGCACGUCAGUGUGUCUUUUGUGAAGCCAGUCCGCCGCCUGUUCAGCUUCUCCAUCCACAAAAUAAGUGAGGAUUUCCCAGAUUUGCCCAACCCCAUCAAAGCAAAAAUACAAGGAUCCAGGUACGCAAGAACUGCUUGACAUGACCUCUGCUCUUCAGCCACGCUCCAAACGGAGACAUGUCAGUGAAGAUAGGACUGAACCGAUCCAGAACAGACUCCUGUCUGACUGAGAUGGCUGCCUCUUCAAGCGUGGUUAGUAAUAAUUGGGAAUACAUAGAUGCGGAACUUUAAAUAAGAUAUUAAGUGGAAUGAAAUGUGCUAAAUGGUUAUUAAUGUGCUGUAAUCUGAAUAUGGAUGUGUUUUUCUUAAUUUAUUAUGCUCUGUUAAAUGAGAAGGGCCCAACUGAUCCAUAUGGAGGGACUGCAGACAGUGUAGAGCAGGGGUGUCAAACUCAAAUUCACGAUGGGCCAAAAUACAAAAUCGGGACAACGUCGCGGGCCAAACUCAAUAUUUUAUGAAAAAUUACUGCGAUGUGCAUGUUUCCCUUCUGUGCAGAAAUGUAGCAUUAAAUUUGUAUCAUAUGACAACAUCCAAACUUCAAACUAUUAACAGUCCCUGCCUAGGAGUUGAUAAAGGUCAUUUAAAAAAUAAACAAAACAUGAAUUCAAUUAUGUUAUAUUAAUUUGUUACAGCCACUUUGGCCAUUUUUGGGAAGGGGAAGUGUAAAUUUGCUCGAGGAGACUAGUAGCAUAGUUGCUAAAAACUGCAACAGAAAAGGAAGGGACGCUUGCCGGUCUAGACUGAUGGGCCAACACAGUAGCAAAGCAUUCUGGGAUUUGUAAUAUUAGUGGCACAUGUGUUAUAUACUGGUGGGCCAGCUCUAAUACACAUUUAAUAUGGUCUUGCGGGCCAAAUAUAAUUACAUCGUGGGCCAAAUUUGGCCCCCGGGCCUGAGUUUGACAUAUAUGGUGUAGAGGAUGCACCCAGUACAUCUAAGAAAAAGAAGACCUUGGAAGGCUUCUUCCAGAUAACCUGGGCAGCCACACCAAGAUCCUCUCCUCACCAGCAACAACAGGCCGUUGCUUCUGAGCUUCAGUCUUGCCUCCAGUGUGCCAACCUUGACAGUGAAGAGGACCCUUCGGGCAGGUGGAAGGAACAUCAGAGACUCUACCACCCACGACUUUCCAAGUUGGCAAGAAGUCCUUGUGCAUUCCUGUAACAAGUUCCCAGUCAAAGAGGAUCUUUAGCAGUGGCGGAAAUGUCGUGGCCUGCCUGCGCUCUUCUCUCAAGUCUGAAAAUGUUGGCAGGCUGUUGUAUGCCUGCCAAAAACAUGUGGGCUCAAGCCUAAUGUUAUUGCUUUUUCUGGAUAAGCUGGAAUUGUUUUCAUUGAUUUUGACUUUGUGAUUUAAAAAAAAAAUAAUAAUUGAUUCAGUCCUUGGAAAUUUUGAUUUUAUUAUUUACAAUUUUUUCUUAUUCAAAGAUUAAUUUUGAAUGGAAAACUAUUUACGUAUUGUUUGUAGUUCUAUAAAAAUACAGAUUUUUUUUGUUCCUGAA